GCACAAGCGGUGGAGCAUGUGGUUUAAUCGAUGCAACGCGAAGACCUUACCUGGGCUUGACAUCCCUGGAAUCCCCCUGGGAAACAGGGGAGUGCCCUUCGGGGAGCCAGGAGACAGGUGCUGCAUGGCUGUCGUCAGCUCGUGUCGUGAGAUGUUGGGUUAAGUCCCGCAACGAGCGCAACCCUUGUCUUUAAUUGCCAUCAUUCAGUUGGGCACUUUAAAGAGACUGCCGGUGUUAAACCGGAGGAAGGUGGGAUGACGUCAAAUCAUCAUGCCCCUUAUGUUCUGGGCUACACACGUGCUACAAUGGCCGGUACAGACGGACGCAAAGCCGCGAGGUGGAGCAAAUCCUAAAAAGCCGGUCUCAGUUCGGAUUGCAGGCUGCAAUUCGCCUGCAUGAAGUCGGAAUCGCUAGUAAUCGCAGGUCAGCAUACUGCGGUCGAAUACGUUCCCGGGCCUU
rnacentral:rRNA from 1 species